CUUGGUGGCAAUAGCCCGGGGAUAACACCCGAUCCCAUCCCGAACUCGGCCGUAAAGACCCGGUACGCCAAUGAUACUGUGUCAAAAGACACGGGAAAGUCGGUAACCGCCAAGC
rnacentral:rRNA from 1 species